rnacentral:rRNA from 1 species
GACGAACGCUGGCGGCGUGCUUAACACAUGCAAGUCGAACGAUGAAGCCGGAGCUUGCUCUGGUGAAUUAGUGGCGAACGGGUGAGUAACACGUGAGUAACCUGCCCUUGACUCUGGGAUAACUGCGGGAAACUGUAGCUAAUACCGGAUACGACCCUCGGAGGCAUCUCCUGGGGGUGGAAAGAAUUUCGGUCAAGGAUGGACUCGCGGCCUAUCAGCUAGUUGGUGAGGUAAAGGCUCACCAAGGCGACCACGGGUAGCCGGCCUGAGAGGGUGACCGGCCACACUGGGACUGAGACACGGCCCAGACUCCUAGGGGAGGCAGCAGUGGGGAAUAUUGCACAAUGGGCGAAAGCGUGAUGCAGCAACGCCGCGGGAGGGAGGACGGCCUUCGGGUUGUAAACCUCUUUUAGCAGGGAAGAAGCGAAAGUGACGGUACCUGCAGAAAAAGCACCGGCUAACUACGUGCCAGCAGCCGCCGUAA